AUUGAACGCUGGCGGCAUGCCUUACACAUGCAAGUCGAACGGCAGCACGGGAGCAAUCCUGGUGGCGAGUGGCGAACGGGUGAGUAAUAUAUCGGAACGUGCCCAGUAGUGGGGGAUAACCCGGCGAAAGUCGGACUAAUACCGCAUACGACCUACGGGUGAAAGCGGGGGAUCGCAAGACCUCGCGCUAUCGGAGCGGCCGAUAUCAGAUUAGCUUGUUGGUGGGGUAAAAGCCUACCAAGGCGACGAUCUGUAGCUGGUCUGAGAGGACGACCAGCCACACUGGGACUGAGACACGGCCCAGACUCCUACGGGAGGCAGCAGUGGGGAAUUUUGGACAAUGGGCGCAAGCCUGAUCCAGCCAUGCCGCGUGCGGGAAGAAGGCCUCGGUUGUAACCG
rnacentral:rRNA from 1 species